CAGGAUGGACGUGUAUAGUGCCCCCUUGUGACCAUUUCAGCCUCAAGUCUUCCCUGAAGAGAUAGGUAACCCAAGGAGUAUAGCCGUCAGAAUCCAAACUCUUUCUGGCUCCCUGACAGCAGCCUCACAAAAACAGGACACACGGCUAGCAGCCUGUGAGGAUCAAGUGAAGCGCAUGGGGACACUCCUGUGAGGACCAGUGCUCUGGGGCAGAGUCCCUGUCUGCUCCCCGGGCACAUCCCUUGUGAUGCUCUUCCAAGGGUCCACUGGAAGACCGGAAGACCAAGGUUUGAUUUGUGCUGCCAUCCUGGUAGAAUUGAGGUAGGAUGGAAGAAAUAAAAG
ensembl:lncRNA